ACAGUGGACGCGAGCAUCUGUGGCCAAGUUUUUAAGGGCGCACGGUGGAUGCCUUGGCACCAGGAACCGAUGAAGGACGUGGGAGGCCACGAUAGUCCCCGGGGAGCCGUCAACCAGGCUUUGAUCCGGGGGUUUCCGAAUGGGGAAACCCGGCAGUCGUCAUGGGCUGUCACCCGCUGCUGAACACAUAGGCAGUGUGGAGGGAACGCGGGGAAGUGAAACAUCUCAGUACCCGCAGGAAGAGAAAACAACCGUGAUUCCGGGAGUAGUGGCGAGCGAAACCGGAUGAGGCCAAACCGUAUACGUGUGAGACCCGGCAGGGGUUGCGUGUGCGGGGUUGUGGGAUCUCUCUUUCACAGUCUGCCGGCUGUGAGGCGAGUCAGAAACCGUUGAUGUAGGCGAAGGACAUGCGAAAGGUCCGGCGUAGAGGGUAAGACCCCCGUAGUCGAAACAUCAGCGGCUCGUUUGAGAGACACCCAAGUAGCACGGGGCCCGAGAAAUCCCGUGUGAAUCUGGCGGGACCACCCGCUAAGCCUAAAUAUUCCCUGGUGACCGAUAGCGGAUAGUACCGUGAGGGAAUGGUGAAAAGUACCGCGGGAGCGGAGUGAAAUAGUACCUGAAACCGUGUGCCUACAAGCCGUGGGAGCGUCGGACGGAGAGCUUGCUCUUCGUCUCGUGACUGCGUGCCUUUUGAAGAAUGAGCCUGCGAGUUUGCGGUGUGUUGCGAGGUUAACCCGAGUGGGGAAGCCGUAGCGAAAGCGAGUCCGAAUAGGGCGUUUCAGUAGCACGCUCAAGACCCGAAGCGGAGUGAUCUAGCCAUGGGCAGGUUGAAGCGGAGGUAAGACUUCGUGGAGGACCGAACCCACCAGGGUUGAAAACCUGGGGGAUGACCUGUGGUUAGGGGUGAAAGGCCAAUCAAACUCCGUGAUAGCUGGUUCUCCCCGAAAUGCAUUUAGGUGCAGCGUCGUGUGUUUCUUGCCGGAGGUAGAGCACUGGAUAGGCGAUGGGCCCUACCGGGUUACUGACCUUAGCCAAACUCCGAAUGCCGGUAAGUGAGAGCGCGGCAGUGAGACUGUGGGGGAUAAGCUCCAUGGUCGAGAGGGAAACAGCCCAGAGCAUCGACUAAGGCCCCUAAGCGUACGCUAAGUGGGAAAGGAUGUGGAGUCGCACAGACAACCAGGAGGUUGGCUUAGAAGCAGCCACCCUUGAAAGAGUGCGUAAUAGCUCACUGGUCUAGUGAUUCCGCGCCGACAAUGUAGCGGGGCUCAAGCGUACCGCCGAAGUCGUGUCAUUGCAGCAUAUACGGCCAACGCCGGCUGUGAUGGGUAGGGGAGCGUCGUGUGCCGGGUGAAGCAGCCGCGGAAGCGAGUUGUGGACGGUUCACGAGUGAGAAUGCAGGCAUGAGUAGCGAUACAAACGUGAGAAACGUUUGCGCCGAUUGACUAAGGGUUCCUGGGUCAAGCUGAUCUGCCCAGGGUAAGUCGGGACCUAAGGCGAGGCCGACAGGCGUAGUCGAUGGAUAACCGGUUGAUAUUCCGGUACCCGCUGUGAAGCGUCAAACAUCGAGCAUCGUGAUGCUAAGGCCGUGAAGCCGCCCUGAUCUCUUCGGAGUUGAGGGGAGUGGUGGAGCCGCCGGACCAAGCGGUUAGUAGGUGAGUGAUGGGGUGACGCAGGAAGGUAGUCCAUCCCGGGCGGUGGUUGUCCCGGGGUAAGGGUGUAGGCCGUGCGGUAGGUAAAUCCGUCGCACACAAGGCUGAGACCUGAUGCCGAGCCGAUUGUGGUGAAGUGGAUGAUCCUAUGCUGUCGAGAAAAGCCUCUAGCGAGUUUCAUGGCGGCCCGUACCCUAAACCGACUCAGGUGGUCAGGUAGAGAAUACCGAGGCGUUCGGGUGAACUAUGGUUAAGGAACUCGGCAAAAUGCCCCCGUAACUUCGGGAGAAGGGGGGCCACACCUGGUGAUGAUCUUUACGGUCUGAGCUGGGGGUGGCCGCAGAGACCAGCGAGAAGCGACUGUUUACUAAAAACACAGGUCCGUGCGAAGCCGUAAGGCGAUGUAUACGGACUGACGCCUGCCCGGUGCUGGAACGUUAAGGGGACCGGUUAGCUCCAUUUCGGUGGGGCGAAGCUGAGAACUUAAGCGCCAGUAAACGGCGGUGGUAACUAUAACCAUCCUAAGGUAGCGAAAUUCCUUGUCGGGUAAGUUCCGACCUGCACGAAUGGCGUAACGACUUCUCGACUGUCUCAACCAUAGGCCCGGUGAAAUUGCACUACGAGUAAAGAUGCUCGUUUCGCGCAGCAGGACGGAAAGACCCCGGGACCUUUACUACAGUUUGAUAUUGGUGUUCGGUUCGGCUUGUGUAGGAUAGCUGGGAGACUUUGAAGCUCGCACGCCAGUGUGGGUGGAGUCGUCGUUGAAAUACCAGUCUGGUCGUGCUGGAUGUCUAACCUGGGUCCGUGAUCCGGAUCAGGGACAGUGUCUGAUGGGUAGUUUAACUGGGGCGGUUGCCUCCUAAAGAGUAACGGAGGCGCCCAAAGGUUCCCUCAGCCUGGUUGGCAAUCAGGUGUUGAGUGUAAGUGCACAAGGGAGCUUGACUGUGAGACCGACGGGUCGAGCAGGGACGAAAGUCGGGACUAGUGAUCCGGCGGUGGCUUGUGGAAGCGCCGUCGCUCAACGGAUAAAAGGUACCCCGGGGAUAACAGGCUGAUCUUCCCCAAGAGUCCAUAUCGACGGGAUGGUUUGGCACCUCGAUGUCGGCUCGUCGCAUCCUGGGGCUGGAGUCGGUCCCAAGGGUUGGGCUGUUCGCCCAUUAAAGCGGUACGCGAGCUGGGUUUAGAACGUCGUGAGACAGUUCGGUCCCUAUCCGCUGUGCGCGUAGGAGUCUUGAGAAGGGCUGUCCCUAGUACGAGAGGACCGGGACGGACGAACCUCUGGUGUGCCAGUUGUCCUGCCAAGGGCAUGGCUGGUUGGCUACGUUCGGGAGGGAUAACCGCUGAAAGCAUCUAAGCGGGAAGCCUGCUUCGAGAUGAGGACUCCCACCCCCUUGAGGGGUUAAGGCUCCCAGUAGACGACUGGGUUGAUAGGCCGGAUCUGGAAGCACCGCAAGGUGUGGAGGUGACCGGUACUAAUAGGCCGAGGGCUUGUCCUCAGUUG
rnacentral:rRNA from 1 species